AGACCGCUACGGUGACUUGCAAGCAACUCACUGCACUUAGGCACUGGACUACCUGAAUUUUUAAUUUAGUGAUGGAAGGCUGCUAGGUGUAGUCAAGUACUUGACUUGUUGGUGCGUGUGUCAAGAUGGGAUUGACCACUCCAGUUCAGGAGCUGUGUACAAUCGUGUUUCAAUUUAACAAAAUCUUGAUCAGGGUAGUCCUAAUGAGGAGUCACAGGACUGAUUGAGUUGAGCAUGAUUCGGAUGAUCUAAUCAGG
rnacentral:lncRNA from 1 species